AAACAACUAAGUAGAGUAACGAGAUCUACGUAAUUUUGAAAAGUUAAGUUACGAAAAUUUGUGAGUGUAUUUUUUUAAGAAAGUUCAUUGAAAUUCUGUAAGACCUUCUCUUACUUUCUUACUUUGAAAUAAAAAAAGUUAGUCGACAAUAUUCACAAUGAAGAAACGUCUGAUACUGAUCAGUUUAUUAUUUUUUUUUCAGAAUAAAACUGAAUGGAGAACUACACAUAAUACGCCAAAAAUAUUCAGGAUAACGUAAUAAUUGCAUGCGAUGUUUGAACUGAAAAAUAAACCGAUGGAGACAUACAUCUGCGAACCAUUGUGGUACCUGUACAAACCAGGUCUUGACAAUGAAGAUUGUUUGGGAAGAUCUAUGCUUAAAAAUUUUAAGGGAAAUCUUCGAGCAAGUGCAGCCAUAACAUGCAUUCACUAUAUCUUCGACCAGUAGGGUGCUCCGAUCGAGUGUAUAGUCCUCUGAUUAGCUGCAGCAUUUCCCCAUAAACUAGUGCCAUCGUCAUAAUUCGGAACACUUCUUCUUUGCGUAGGUGGAGAAGGUUCUUCCCAGCCUGAUGGUUUCCCAGGCAUAAUAUCUUUUGGCGGCGG